rnacentral:tRNA from 1 species
GCUCUCGUAGUUCAAUGGAUAGAACGACCGCCUUCUAAGCCGUAGAUCCAAGUUCGAUUCUUGGCGAGGGUA